ensembl:snRNA U6 spliceosomal RNA
GUGCUCGCUUCGGCAGGACAUAUACUAAAAUUGGAAUGAUACAGAGAAGAUUAGCAUGGCCCCUGUGCAAGGAUAACACGAAAAUUCAUGAAGCAUUCCACAUUUUU